GCGUGGAACCUGGCUUCCUCCUCCAGCGCAGCCCCUCCGCCAGGCUCAGCAUAAUCCAGCCUCAAGACCUCGCCGGGUCACCUCAGGGGUGUGCGCAUCUCCUCUGGAAGCCAGUUUUGAAGUUGGAAGGCCAGGUGCCCCAUCCCAGUGUGGUUUUAUCAGUCACCGCACUGGGUCACUUCCCGCAGGUUGUUUCCUUUGCUCUGCGCCCUCUGAUCGACGUCGACCAUCGCUGGAUAGGGCACCUGUCCUCUGUCCGCAGCUCGAGAGCAGCAAGACCCCCUGGGGUCAGGCAGCCAUUAACAGCUGGCGGGCCCAGCUCUGGGGCAGGCUCCUCCACCGUCCGCAAGCUCGCUGGGUGGCUUCUGCGUGUCUGAGUCUUCCUGAAUGAACCAGGGGUCUGGAACCUCGCACCAUGAGCCCGGCGUGCCCUUCCCUGCAGCGCUCCUCCUGAGGGUCGCUGCCCCGGCCGGCGACCUGGUCUGCGGGGCGAGGAGCGCGCUUCCCCGCGCCGCCACGAGGGGGCACCGUCCGACCGCGCGCUCUGCGGUCCUUGCAGCGGCGGAAACCACCCAGGGCUGGGAUCAGAAGUGACCUUGUGCAGACUGCGCUCAUUGUUACGCGGAGGGGAAACGACAGCGAAAAGGAAACCAUAUAUUGUCUGUGGUCCGCUGGGCCGUAAUUCAUUCCCCUGGACUUCUUCGCGAGAUGGUAUGGAACCCAUUAGGCAGGAUAUUGAAGCUUAUGGAUGGAAACCUAGUAAUUCCUCUUUAAUAAACGUACUUGUUCACAUCCUGAAGCCCUGAUAAUUCUGAUAAUCCUGCUGACUUCCUGAGGAAGGCACCAUGUCUGUACUUGUCUGCUUUAAGGCACCUAGCACAAGG